UUGCUUCAAAUAACCUAAGGAACCCCUCGUUUCCCGGAAGUGCUAUAAUUCUGAGACGCCUAUAUAGAUCGAGCUGAUACGAGACGAGAGUAGCCCCCGGCCUGCCGCGGCAACAACUCGCGUUAAUAAAGUUCACGUAGACGGUUCUCGGGCGGAGGAAGAUAGUAGCAGUUGACACGCACCCGACCGAAUCAGGAUGAAACGAAAUCGUGCGUCGCGGCCGAGAGAUUACGGAAGACCUCGAGCCACGAAACCUCCUUCGCGACACUUAUCUCGCUAACGAGUCUCGGCCUGGACAUACCGAUGGAUUUCGUCGAGGAGAGUCCAAAAAUCGAAGUCGCGCAUCGAGGAAUGUCAUUAAAAUAAGCCUUGUAUUCUCUUGUUGAAAAGUCACGGCGUUCAAAGUUGACGAAUUUUCAGCGUUUUUGACAGGUGGGCGCGCCAUAUUGACAGGCGACGCCGCUACAUAGCGGUACUACGCGUAACCUAGAACUACCAAAUGGCAGCACUACAGAUUCGGGACUUCGAUUUUUGGACAUUUCUCGACAAAAUCCGUUGGAAUGUACGCUGGAAAGUCAUAAAAAUAGAAACCCCCAAGGAAAAGUUUAACCAAAAAUAGUGCGAAAUAGAGGUUAUUGAAAGGUGUCUUUCGACACCUUCGCUAUAUAUACAUAUAUAUAGAGUGUUGAAGUCAAAUAUACUUCUGUAUGCGCGAAUAAGACUUCCAUGCUUGCCAAUAUUGAACUUGUGUACAAUGAGCAUACAUUUGCAGCCGUGCGGAUAGAGGAAGUCGUAUGAUAAGCGAUCGAUACAACGUGUUCGGUAAUAUCAUUUCGUUUGGGUAGUAUGUAAUAGCGUGAUAAUAGAAUUAUCCAAUUUCUGCUUCGGUUCAUUGAUACGACUGAUCCAAUUAAAAUGAAAUUGCUGCAACACUCUGCAUUAGGUUAAUGGAAGGUCUGAAAACAGAAUAAAAUGCAUCUGCUGGCGAUAAAGAUGGCUGACCUUUCAUGCGGUAGAAAGGAUGAGCGCUAAAGUCGGGGAUUCGAAGAUGACGACGUUAAUGCCAUCAAAAGAUUGCGGCAAACGUGGGAACGGAGGCAGUUAAUAUCGGGUCUUUCGAAAAAGCAGAGAAUAACAGGAGUUACCAUCGCACGUAGCCGCGCUCAAUUCUCGAUCGUGGCUCGUCGCCGAGCUGCUCUGUAUUCAGGCGAGUUGUAAACGCGCGGCUCGGGCUCAUAUUUUUAAAGGAAAUUCGUAAUCGAGUCGCGCGACGUAACGGAACAGCUCCACGUUCGUCUCACGUCGGCGAAACCGUCCGGGAUUGGCCGAAACAGCCGAACAGACGAACUACCACUAGAGCGGCACAGACGAUGAUUCAUACGGGGCAAACGCGAAGUGAUCUCAUCGUUCACGUCGUGCGAAUCGCUACUUGAAAACUGGACGAAGGCUCCGCUCUCCUGGCUUCCAUUCGACUCAUCUUGCGAUUCGACCGUACCGGUUAUCAGCGGAGCGAAAUAGAAUCCUGAUGACGCACAGUGGCUCUGGGAAACUAAUAAUUUGUAACCGAAAUUCAAUCCCUCAACUAUUGUACUUGAAGAAUAUAUUUGUUUUCCUGUGUAUCGACCACUCAGGAAUUCUGAAAUCCAAAAUAUUAACCUCAAAUAUUAACAACCUAAAAGUAGAAAUAUUAACAACCUGAGAAUAAACCUAAAAAUAUUAAUAACCUAACUCAGCGACUAGAUAGAGCGUUGUAAAGGCACAAAUACGAAAUUUAGAUUAAAA